rnacentral:lncRNA from 8 species
GGAAUGAUAAAUCCAUUAUGUACUAUAUUUUUUGUGUCAUUUUGUGGGUGUUGUUAGAAAUAGUAUUCUGAAGCUCGUGAUUGUGAACUUAUUGGUGCAGUGGAAGCUUCACUCUUCUGUUUUCAAGAGCAAUAAUUGUUACCCCAAAAUGAUCUAUCCUUUAUCUUGUAUCACUCUAAAUCUCACUUUUAUGACCAUAUCCUUCUCUCAAGCAGGCUCUCAGCAUCUCUCCUUAUCUCUAUCAUCUAUUUAAUUUACCUCCCAUCACUUUCACUCUUCCCUGUUUAAUUUCAUCACCCUGUCCACUCUCCCCUCCUCUCUCCUCCCUUGCCUCUGAUCUUUCAGUGUGGUGGCGCUCUCAUGCUGCAUCAUCGGGGAUAACACAUGCUCUCUGUUUAUUAUCAGGGAGGGAGGGAGUUGGAGAGAAAGAAGGAGGGAGGAUGAGAGGGUAUCAGAGAACCCAUAGAGUAGACAGCCUUUCUCUGUAGCACACACAGACACACAGACCAGAACAGACUGGGGGAAAGAGAGAGGGAAACAGACGCACUGCAAAAUCCAGACGCAUCAACAGCCACCCUAGCAGCUCAAACCACCACAGCAGAUGGGGCCCGGAUUGUUUUGGAACUUCUCUUCAAAGGCUAACUGCUCGGUGCCGCAGAGCCUGCUGCAGACCAUGUUGCUCUCCAGGAUGGCUGGGAUGAAGGAGCAGCAAUUUACUGAGGAGAAACCCCUACUGCAAGAACAGAGAGGACAAGACACUGAGAUGAGAGACCAAGGGUGGUGUAUGAAUGCACUCCCCUGUGCAAACCCUGCGCCCCUCACCGCCCCCUCUUCCUCAAGCCACCCCCAACAACAGUGGCAUGUGAUCGUGCGGCACUGGCUCCACCAGACCCGCAAUCAGACCAGUGGGUGCAUCCCGGUCAUUACAAACCCAGAACACGCCCUGCAGGGGGACUAGUCCCCUCGCCCAGUGGGGGCACCAAAUCACGGAUUCCUUCAGCUGUGCUAUUGGUUGCUCCUUUACAUAGCUUAUCCUCACCUGCAACACAUGCUGAGUCACAGAAAUAUGGAGGCCACAAACAACAGGGGGAAGAAAUCAUUGAUGCACAGCCUAUAGUAAUAGAAUCAGCAGGGUGUCAUACUUCCAGAUAAUCACACAGGAUCAUUUCAUAUGGAGAAAUGUUAAACUUCCUGAAGAACAACAUGCAUCCAGCCACCACCAGCACAGUGCCACAGCUCCCUCCCCCACCAUGCUGUCUUACUGCAGUCACAUCUGGGCUCCAGAGGACAAGAGUGACACCUGCUGGUCCGACCGCCCCACUGAAGCAACUAACCUGCUGUCUCUCCUCUAAGAACAAGCGCAUGACACCCAUUCUCUCUAGUAGGAAAUCUGAUCUUAAUGUCAUCACCCUAUAUCAAUGGACUGCUGAUGUGUUCUGAUAAUAAUGCAACCAUUUGACAACUUUCUUCCUUUUUUCACCUCAUCUGUGUUUUUAUGUAUAAUAAUUUUGUGUUUCCUGAAACCACUGUAUAUGAAUGCACUAGGAUUGCACCUUCAGGAUCUCUAAGGGUUUGGGGACAAUUUUUCUUAAACCACUUUAAUGAUGCUUGGUCUGAUUCAACUACAGUAUAACCUCCAUAGAUAUAACCUCUCUAUAUAUAACCUCUCUCUCUAUAUAUAACGUCUCUACAUAUAUAAUCUCUCUCUAUAUAACCUCUAUAUAUAUAACCUCUAUAUAUAUAACUUCUCUGUACAUAACCUCUAUAUAUAUAACCUCUACAUAUAACCU